rnacentral:rRNA from 1 species
GCCUAACACAUGCAAGUCGAGCGGCAGCACAAGUAAGUUUACUUAUGAGGUGGCGAGCGGCGGACGGGUGAGUAAUGCCUAGGGAUCUGCCCAGUCGAGGGGGAUAACAGUUGGAAACGACUGCUAAUACCGCAUACGCCCUACGGGGGAAAGAGGGGGACCUUCGGGCCUCUCGCGAUUGGAUGAACCUAGGUGGGAUUAGCUAGUUGGUGAGGUAAUGGCUCACCAAGGCGACGACCCCUAGCUGUUCUGAGAGGAUGAUCAGCCACACUGGGACUGAGACACGGCCCAGACUCCUACGGGAGGCAGCAAGUGGGGAAUAUUGCACAAUGGGGGAAACCCUGACGCAGCCAUGCCGACGUGUGUAGAAGAAGGCCUUUCGGGUUGUAAAGCACUUUCAGUANCGGAGGAAAGGGUGAGUCUUAAUACGGCUCAUCUGUGACGCUACCUACAGAAGAAGGACCGGCUAACUCCGUGCC